rnacentral:ncRNA from 1 species
AAUGAGUUGUUUGAGCGCUUUUCAUUAUAAGUCAUAGGGGUCUUUUUUGGUAGACAGAAAAAACUCCACAAUACCUCUAGUGGGUCUACCCACUACAGAUAUUAUAGAGCU